rnacentral:siRNA from 1 species
UACAUAUUGGGCUUCAUGGGCCA